CAGGCCGCUCCCGUCUCACGCCCUCCGCCGCCCCGGACCCCGGCGGCGCCGCGCUACUCGCCCGGCGCCUGAGCGGCUCCCGCCUUCGCGCCUCGGCGUCCGCGGACGUCGACUCGCCGGCCGCGGCUGAGGUGGCGGCAUCCCUGCCCUGGCGCUCCAUAGGCGCGCCGAGCCGGCCCGCUCCCAUCCGCAGCAGCCGCUGCUGCCGCCCGAGCCAGCCCCCCAGCGCCGCCUCGCUGUCUUCGCGCAGCCGGCUGAGCGCAGGCGCACGCGGGCUGCCGCCUCUUCCGUUGCGCCAACGUGCAGCGAGCCAAUCCGAGCCGAGUGCCGGCGAGUGACAGGGCUGUCGUCCAAUCGGCUCCCCGACUCGAGCCGAAGGGCCCGCGCUGCCACCCAAUGACAGGCUUUCAGGACAACUAAGUGGAGCAGCUCCUGCAGGAAAACACUCUGUACAGAUCUAACAAGAAUCAAGAACACCCAUAGCAGAGCUGGAGAGACUAAUCAACAGUUAAGAGCAGAGGACCAGGAUUUGGUUCCCAGCACCCACAUGGCGCUCACAACCUUCAGUAACUCCAGGGGAUUUCACUCUCCUACGCCCCCCUGGAGUACCAGGCACCCACAUGCUGACAGUAAGAUGAUGCACGCUGCUAAGACACCCUGUCUCUGUCCCAUGUGUAGCCACCAUGCCAACCCACAGCACUGGGCUAGGGCCUGAGAAGAGCUCCUUCCAGACCUUAGGCAUCACCACUAGAAUCUUCAGACAUAAUUGGAAUUCUGAAUUAUGUGCAACCAAUAAAGACGAGACAUGGAUGAGA